rnacentral:pre_miRNA from 1 species
UGUGUUGUUGUUUCGUUUUGUGACCGACACUAACGGGUAAUUGAUCGGCCCCCAAAAGCCGCCCACCGCAGGAUUACUCGUUUUUGCGAUCACAAAUCCUGAAAUUUCAGCAA